CCUAUUUGUUUACUUGUGCAAAUUGAAUAUGCCGAAAGUAUCAAAAGUGAAAUGAUAUCAGCAACAAAGGCUCACGGAAAUAAAAAUCGCAGUAGCUCAAAGAAAAAGACAGGUACUACAACAACUCGAUGGAAAUAUAGAAAAGAUUUAACUUCAGAAAAUUGUCAACUUCGAACUUGCGAUGUCACACAG